CCGUACCAUGCUGAAUAUACCGGUUCUCGUUAGAUCACCGAAGUCAAGCAGCAUUGGGCGCGGUCAGUACUUGGGAGGGUGACCACCUGGGAACACUGCGUGCCGUU
rnacentral:rRNA from 1 species